rnacentral:rRNA from 1 species
UAAUUUAAAGUCUAGCCUGCCCAAUGAUUAUAAAUUGAAUGGCCGCGGUAUUUUGACCGUGCUAAGGUAGCAUAAUAAUUAGUUUUUUAAUUGAGAACUGGUAUGAAUGGUUGGACAAAGAAAAUUCUGUCUCAAGUUUAAUUUAAUUAGAAUUUUAUUUUUAAGUAAAAAAGCUUAAAUAAUUUUAAAAGACGAGAAGACCCUAUAGAGUUUUAUAUUAUUUAUUAUAAAUAAUUUAAAGUAUUAUAUAUUUUAUAUAAUAAAUAGUAUUUUGUUGGGGUGACAAAAAAAUUUAAUUAACUUUUUUUAUUUUAGAUCAUUAAUUUAUGAUAAAGUGAUCCAUUUUUUAUGAUUA